GCCAGGCGUGGUGGCGUGUGCCUGUAAUCCCAGCUACUCAGGAGGCUGAGGUGGGAGAAUCACUUGAACCCGGGAUGCAGAGGUUGCAGUGAGCCAAGAUUGGGCCACUGCACUCCAGUCUGGGUGAUAGAGUGAGACCCUAUCUCAA
rnacentral:SRP_RNA from 2 species